rnacentral:miRNA from 1 species
ACCCAGGCUCUAUUUGCCCGCACCCGCCUGUGACUCCCUCGUAAUAAGGAAGUCACAGGCGGGCGCGUGCAAAUAGGGCCUGGGUUACGUGU